UGGGGAAUAUUGCACAAUGGGCGCAAGCCUGAUGCAGCCAUGCCGCGUGUGUGAAGAAGGCCUUCGGGUUGUAAAGCACUUUCAGCGGGGAGGAAGGCGUUAAGGUUAAUAACCUUGGCGAUUGACGUUACCCGCAGAAGAAGCACCGGCUAACUCCGUGCCAGCAGCCGCGGUAAUACGGAGGGUGCAAGCGUUAAUCGGAAUUACUGGGCGUAAAGCGAACGCCGGCGGUCUGUCAAGUCGGAUGUGAAAUCCCCGGGCUCAACCUGGGAACUGCAUUAGAAACUGGCAGGAUAGAGGCUUGUAGAGGGGGGUAGAAUUCCAGGUGUAGCGGUGAAAUGCGUAGAGAUCUGGAGGAAGACCGGUGGCGAAGGCGGCCCCCUGGACAAAGACUGACGCUCAGGUGCGAAAGCGUGGGGAGCAAACAGG
rnacentral:rRNA from 1 species